rnacentral:lncRNA from 1 species
CCAGAUUAUUUUCAGUAAACACAGGUCAUGAAUUUAUUACAAAAGAUCAAUUAAUGAAACCAAAAACAACAUAAAUCGAAAAUGCCUCUUCAGAAAGAAGAAAAUCAUAUCACACAAAACAGAGAUAAAUAACUCAAUUGGAAGGAUAAACAUUCUGAACCGAGAUAAAACACGUUCAAAACUUACCAAGUGUAGAUCUUACUGUAUACAAUGUCGAUUGGGAUCAUGGCGACCUCGAUCUUGCCGGCGUCAACUAUUGACGAAAUCUUAUCGAUCAACCUGCGUAGUUCAAAAUGCACCAAAACUUUAGCCAAGCCUUUCGAACAGGAUAAGUAAGAACGAUUUGUAAGUGAGAGCACGAAUGGGUUGUGCGUAAGAAGGGAAAUUACAGGAAUUUUGAGAAUCAAAAUAAGAUUUAUAGUUUGUUCACAUUAAAAUGAGUAUGAAAAUGCUAAGAGGAAAAUGUUUCUAGCGAAACGGAAAGAAAGUUAAGAAAGGAAAGAGUAAAGUUC